GACGAACGCUGGCGGCGUGCUUAACACAUGCAAGUCGAACGGAAAGGCCCUGCUUGCAGGGUACUCGAGUGGCGAACGGGUGAGUAACACGUGGGUGAUCUGCCCUGCACUUCGGGAUAAGCCUGGGAAACUGGGUCUAAUACCGGAUAGGAGCCAUUUUUAGUGUGAUGGUUGGAAAGUUUUUUCGGUGUAGGAUGAGCUCGCGGCCUAUCAGCUUGUUGGUGGGGUAAUGGCCUACCAAGGCGGCGACGGGUAGCCGGCCUGAGAGGGUGGACGGCCACAUUGGGACUGAGAUACGGCCCAGACUCCUACGGGAGGCAGCAGUGGGGAAUAUUGCACAAUGGGCGCAAGCCUGAUGCAGCGACGCCGCGUGGGGGAUGCCGGCCUUCGGGUUGUAAACUCCUUUCGCUAGGGACGAAGCUUUUGUGACGGUACCUAGAGAAGAAGCACCGGCUAACUACGUG
rnacentral:rRNA from 1 species